rnacentral:lncRNA from 1 species
AUGGCAGCUCCACCAGGUGUUAUGUUCCCUGUGGAGCCACUGGGUCCCCCACCACCCCCACUGGAACUCCCAAGCUAGGCUUUGCUUCUUCAGGAAGCUCCAGGUUCUCUAAGACCUUAUGACAGUACCUUGAUGGAAAAGUUGAAGUCAUAUUUUCAGGCUUGCUUUGCUUCUCUGGUGAGUCAGAAGUAUGUCAAUGGCACCAAUCAGGAAGAAAUUCAAACUGGUGUUGAUCAGUGUAUCCAGGAGUUUCUGGAUAUUGCAAGACAGAUAGGAUGUUUUUUUCUUCAAAAAGAUUGCAAUUAUCUGUCCAGAAACCAGAUAAUGCUAUCAAAGAGGAUUUCUUCGAACUAAGGAAUGAAUUAUAGUGGAAAGACAUGCUGGUCCAGAAGAACUUGACAUAGUUGCGGCAUUCAUGGCAGGUGCUGGAGGACAUCAAUGUGCAGCACAGAAAGCUAGCCGACAUCCCUCAGGGUUCCUUGGCCUAUCUUGAGUAGGCAUCUGCCAAUAUACUUGCACCUCUGAAGCCAA